CAAGUCGAACGCGAAAGUUCCCUUCGGGGAACAAGUAGAGUGGCGCACGGGUGAGUAACACGUAGGUAAUCUACCUUUGGAUUGGGAAUAACACCGAGAAAUCGGUGCUAAUACCGAAUAAUGCAGCGGCACCUAAUGGUGACAGUUGUUAAAGCGGGGGAUCGCAAGACCUCGCGUCUAAAGAGGAGCCUGCGGCGGAUUAGCUAGUUGGUAAGGUAACGGCUUACCAAGGCGAUGAUCCGUAGCCGGCCUGAGAGGGCGGUCGGCCACACUGACACUGACAUACGGGUCAGACUCCUACGGGAGGCAGCAGUCGGGAAUUUUGGGCAAUGGGCGAAAGCCUGACCCAGCAACGCCGCGUGAAGGAUGAAAUCCCUCGGGAUGUAAACUUCGCAAGAACGGGAAGAAUAAGUCGGUGCUAACACCAUCGGCGAUGACGGUACUGUUUGUAAGCUCCGGCUAACUCCGUGCCAGCAGCCGCGGUAAUACGGGGGGAGCAAGCGUUGUUCGGAUUUACUGGGCGUAAAGGGCGCGUAGGCGGCCACCGCAAGUCGACUGUGAAAUCUCCGGGCUUAACUCGGAAAGGUCAGCCGAUACUGCGGGGCUAGAGUGCAGAAGGGGCAACUGGAAUUCUCGGUGUAGCGGUGAAAUGCGUANAUAUCGAGAGGAACACCUGCGGCGAAGGCGGGUUGCUGGGCUGACACUGACGCUGAUGUGCGAAAGCUAGGGGAGCGAACGGGAUUAGAUACCCCGGUAGUCCUAGCCUUAAACGAUGAAUGCUUGGUGUCUGGGGUUUUAUA
rnacentral:rRNA from 1 species